GUAUGCUUUGGAAACUGUUAGACUUGAGUGCAGAAGGGGAGAGUGGAAUUCCAUGUGUAGCGGUGAAAUGCGUAGAUAUAUGGAGGAACACCGGUGGCGAAAGCGGCUCUCUGGUCUGUCACUGACGCUGAGGCUCGAAAGCGUGGGUAGCGAACAGGAUUAGAUACCCUGGUAGUNCACGCCGUAAACGCUGAGUGCUAGGUGUUAGGUCCUUUCCGGGACUUAGUGCCGACGCUAACGCAUUAAGCACUCCGCCUGGGGAGUACGACCGCAAGGUUGAAACUCAAAGGAAUUGACGGGGGCCCGCACAAGCGGUGGAGCAUGUGGUUUAAUUCGAAGCAACGCGAAGAACCUUACCAGGUCUUGACAUCCCGAUGCCCGCUCUAGAGAUAGAGUUUUACUUUUUGUACAUCGGAGACAGGUGGUGCAUGGUUGUCGUCAGCUCGUGUCGUGAGAUGUUGGGUUAANNNNNNCAACGAGCGCAACCCUUAUUGUUAGUUGUCAUCAUUAAGUUGGGCACUCUAGCGAGACUGCCGGUAAUAAACCGGAGGAAGGUGGGGAUGACGUCAAAUCAUCAUGCCCCUUAUGACCUGGGCUACACACGUGCUACAAUGGUUGGUACAACGAGUCGCAAGCCGGUGGCGGCAAGCUAAUCUCUGAAAGCCAAUCUCAGUUCGGAUUGUAGGCUGCAACUCGCCUACAUGAAGUCGGAAUCGCUAGUAAUCGCGGAUCAGCACGCCGCGGUGAAUACGUUCCCGGGCCUUGU
rnacentral:rRNA from 1 species